rnacentral:rRNA from 1 species
CAUGUCUAGUAUAGCAUUAUACCGUGAAACUGCGAAUGGCUCAUUAAAUCAGUUAUCGUUUAUUUGAUAGUACCUUACUACUUGGAUACCUGUGGUAAUUCUAGAGCUAAUACAUGCUAAAAACCCCGACUUCGGGAGGGGUGUAUUUAUUAGAUAAAAAACCAAUGCCCUUCGGGGCUCCUUGGUGAUUCAUGAUAACUUCUCAGAUCGCAUGGCCUUGCGCCGGCGACGGUUCAUUCAAAUUUCUGCCCUAUCAACUUUCGAUGGUAAGGUAUUGGCUUACCAUGGUUUCUACGGGUAACGGGGAAUUAGGGUUCGAUUCCGGAGAGUUAGCCUGAGAAACGGCUAACACAUCCAAGGAAGGCAGCAGGCGCGCAAAUUACCCAAUCCUGAUACAGGGAGGUAGUGACAAUAAAUACUAAUACAGGGCUCUUUCGGGUCGUGUAAUUGGAAUGAGUACAAUUUAAACCUCUUAACGAGGAACAAUUGGAGGGCAAGUCUGGUGCCAGCAGCCGCGGUAAUUCCAGCUCCAAUAGCGUAUAUUAAAGUUGUUGCAGUUAAAAAGCUCGUAGUUGAACCUUUGGCCUGGCUGGCAGGUCCGCCUCACCGCGUGCACUUGUCCGGCCGGGCCUUUUCUUCUGGAGAACCGCAUGCCCUUCACUGGGUGUGUUGGGGACCAGGACUUUUACUUUGAAAAAAUUAGAGUGUUCAAAGCAGGCCUUUGCUCGAAUAUUACAGCAUGGAAUAAUAAAAUAGGACGUGCGGUUCUAUUUUGUUGGUUUCUAGGACCGCCGUAAUGAUUAAUAGGGACAGUCGGGGGCAUCAGUAUUCAAUUGUCAGAGGUGAAAUUCUUGGAUUUAUUGAAGACUAACUACUGCGAAAGCAUUUGCCAAGGAUGUUUUCAUUAAUCAGUGAACGAAAGUUAGGGGAUCGAAGACGAUCAGAUACCGUCGUAGUCUUAACCAUAAACUAUGCCGACUAGGGAUCGGGCGGUGUUAUUAUUUUGACUCGCUCGGCACCUUACGAGAAAUCAAAGUGUUUGGGUCUGGGGGAG